GGUAUUAUUGUCCUAACAACUGAAAUAGACAUGCUCUUUCCUAAUUUAAAAAUUAAAUGCAUACAAGGCAUUAUUGUUAGUGUAUUUUGUCUCUAUGUCCUCAUCGUUGUAACUGUGUCUUAGGCAUCUUCCACUGCAGCUGAUGUAGAAAGGACACUUGAACUACCUGCAACUCCUCGACUGAUACUCCUUGGUGAAAAACCAGGAAGCUGCAUUCAUAAAUGGAUGAUUAGUUUUGAGGGGCAAAUAAUCGGUGAGGGCAUCCAGCCAAGUUUUCUGUCUGGACUUGCUGCUGUGUUUUCGACUUUCUACAAUUUCAAUGUGGAGUACCAAGCUGAGGCUGCAUCCACGUUGGAAUUCAUUCAGAGGCGCUUCAUUGGUAUAAAUCCUGAAAAAGGCACCAAGGGUGGACAAGUCCUAUCAAAGCGGACAGGGAAGGUCGCCCACAAAAAGAAAUCAGUCAACACUCGGGUUGCCAGUCUACUUAAGAAACUAAUGGACUUUGAGUGGGACUUCAUAUAAGUGAACCCACUCAUUCACUGACAUACCACACACACACCUUACACAUACUCUUCACACACGACAAAAACAUGCUUUUAGUGUGUUAGUCGCACAAUUUUUUCAGGUGUUCAUUUUUGAAUACCAACAUUUUCACUUCAUUCUUCAUUGAAUUCUUUCUUCAUUCAGUAAUUCUUAUUCACUAAUAAUUCAGUAAUUCUUAUUCACUCAGUAGUUCUCUGAGUCACUCAUUUAGUUUUUUCUAAUGUUAUAUAAAUGUUUUGUUUAUUCAGUUAAACAAAAGUUUAUUCUGAAGCUUAAGUUUUAGUCAUUUCACUUGC